UACGUAGGGUGCAAGCGUUGUCCGGAAUUAUUGGGCGUAAAGAGCUCGUAGGCGGUUUGUCGCGUCUGCUGUGAAAACUCGGGGCUUAACCCCGGGCCUGCAGUGGGUACGGGCAGACUAGAGUGCGGUAGGGGAGACUGGAAUUCCUGGUGUAGCGGUGAAAUGCGCAGAUAUCAGGAGGAACACCGGUGGCGAAGGCGGCUCUCUGGAACGCAACUGACGCUGAGACGCGAAAGCGUGGGGAGCAAACAGG
rnacentral:rRNA from 1 species